rnacentral:rRNA from 1 species
GGUGAGUACAACAUAGGAAAUCUGCCUUAGGGUGGGGGACAACAGAGGGAAACUUCUGCUAAUACCCCAUAUGAGCUUAGUUGAAAUACUAAUCUUGAAAGUUCCGGCGCCCUAAGAUGAGCCUGUGCCUGAUUAGCUAGUUGGUAGUGUAAUGGACUACCAAGGCGACGAUCAGUAGCUGGUUUGAGAGGAUGAUCAGCCACAAUGGGACUGAGACACGGCCCAUACACCUACGGGAGGCAGCAGUAGGGAAUUUUGCGCAAUGGGCGAAAGCCUGACGCAGCAACACCGCGUGAAUGUUAAGCCCUUCGGGGUGUAAAGUUCUGUCAAUAGGGACGAAUUUUGACUGUACCUAUAAAGGAAGCACCGGCUAACUCCGUGCCAGCAGCCGCGGUAAUACGGGGGGUGCAAGCGUUGUCCGGAAUCAUUGGGCGUAAAGCGUUCGUAGGCGGUAUGUCAAGUCUGGUGUCAAAGCCCGGGGCUCAACUCCGGUUCGGCAUUGGAUACUGGCAAACUAGAAUGUGGUAGAGGUAAAGGGAAUUCCUGGUGUAGCGGUGAAAUGCGUAGAUAUCAGGAGGAACAUCGGUGGCGAAAGCGCUUUACUGGACCAUUAUUGACGCUGAGGAACGAAAGCCAGGGGAGCAAAUGGGAUUAGAUACCCCAGUAGUCCUGGCCGUAAACGAUGGAUACUAGGUGUUGCGGGUAUCGACCCCUGCAGUGCCGAAGCUAACGCGAUAAGUAUCCCGCCUGGGGAGUACGCACGCAAGUGUGAAACUUAAAGGAAUUGACGGGGACCCGCACAAGCGGUGGAACAUGUGGUUUAAUUCGAAGCGACGCGAAGAACCUUACCAGGGCUUGACAUCUAGAGAAUUCUGAUGAAAGUCGGAAGUGCCCUUCGGGGAGUUCUAAGACAGGUGGUGCACGGUUGUCGUCAGCUCGUGUCGUGAGAUGUUGGGUUAAGUCCCGCAACGAGCGCAACCCCUGCUUACAGUAGCCAGCAGCAAGGCUGGGCACUCUGUAAGGACUGCCGGGGAUAACCCGGAGGAAGGCGGGGACGACGUCAAAUCAUCAUGCCCCUUAUGGGCUGGGCUACACACGUGCUACAAUGGCGCCAACAGAGUGAGGCAAACCUGCGAGGGGGAGCAAAGCACAAAAAAGGCGUCCCAGUUCGGAUUACAGCCUGCAACCCGGCUGUAUGAAGCUGGAAUCGCUAGUAAUCGCAGAUCAGAAUGCUGCGGUGAACACCUUCCAGGGUCUUGCACUCCCCCCCCCUCA